UGGAUGACUUUUGAGUCUUUAGGAUUCGUGGGCUCUACAAACUAGUUUGUGGGCCCUAAUAACAGGGACACUCUUUUUAUGUUUUGCAAAAUGGGUAAUGAUUUGUUGACGAUCGAUGUGAUUGAUUGUCUUCGCUUAGGUUGUGGAAGAUGAUGAUGUAAGAAGAAGCCAUUCUGAAUUUGAUGCCGUGUUUGGUAACGACAAACAAUUAUCAUUUUAGAUUUCAUACAUUCAGCAGGGGACAUUGGAAGAUCCCUCAAGUAUUUAAGGAAUCACUAAUUUCAAUUAUUCAGGAUGAGCAACUGAAGCCAUGUCCAAAGUCUUGGUGGGGAGUUAGAUCUGUUUUUCAUACCUGUACCCGCGUCAUGUCACUUGGACACGAGUAUUUGGAGGUAAAUUGAAGAAGGGACAGAGCAUCAGAGGCACUAUCACCAUUGAUUUUCCUCAGAAAAAUUAAUCUCUUUGCCUCAAUAAAGUCCUCACUGUUAAUCUUCCUCUGUACUCACUGGUAGAGGCAGCUCUCCGUGUUGCUUAUGAACAUGUCUUCACCAUACAAGUAGAUGAUUAUAUUGACAUGACAGUUCAGUUUUUGAGACCGAUCAUGCCUAUUGUCAAGAACUUACAAUUGUGUGAUUCUACUAUGAGACGCUAUCAGACACAGUUCAUAAGAAGUUGCCUGGCUUUGACAAUCUUCCUGAUUUCAGAAUUUGACUCGUUUGGAGAUUGAAGCUAGUGGAAAUGAUCGUUGGUUGGUCUUGCAAGAGAUAUUCAAAUGCUCUCCUAAGGUGGAAGUCUUCAUCUUACACAAGGACAUGGUCAGUUCCUUUAAGAUACAUACUUGCUAUGUUUUCUGCAAGUAAGAUCGGAAUUGUUCUUCUUACUGACUUUAAAUCAUUCAGAUGGAGAAAACUGCCGAAUCAUUGAGGAGCAUAAUUCAAUAUGUUAUAACAUAAAUCAAGUAACUCUACAUCAUUAUAAUGAUAAAAGGAGGAGCAUAAUUCAAUAUGUUUAUUGUCUUUGUAUUUCAGGUCAUAGGCUUUAUUUUCCAUUGAAAGAUAAUAUGUAAAUGACAAGUUCAUGGUUUACAAUGGCAGAAGACUUUCAUUUUUACAAGGAAAAACCAUUAUUUAUGUAUAAUGUUCGAAAUAUAAGAGAUCCACAUUCAUAUUU